GACGGCACCUGGCUGGGUAUCCCCAAGCUCUGGUUGCUGAUCGGGGGCGGUGUCAUCCUGUUGCUGCUGGCGCUGAUCGUGGCCGUGGUGAUGUCUC
rnacentral:tRNA from 1 species